rnacentral:rRNA from 1 species
AUUGAACGCUGGCGGCAGGCCUAACACAUGCAAGUCGAGCGAGCGGCGGAGGUGUGAGAAAUGCGUGGGACUUGCCCAGUCGAGGGGUAUAACAGUUGGAAACGACUUCUUAUACCGCAUACGAUGAGAUCGCACAGGUGGGAUUCGCUAGUUGGUGAGGUAAUGGCUCACCAAGGCGACGCUCCCUAGCUGGUCUGAGAGGAGGAUCAGCCACACUGGAACUGAGACACGGUCCAGACUCCUACGGGAGGCAGCAGUGGGGAAUAUUGCACAAUGGGGGAAACCCUGAUGCAGCCAUGCCGCGUGUGUGAAGAAGGCCUUCGGGUUGUAAAGCACUUUCAGCGGGGAGGCGUUACUCGCAGAAGAAGCACCGGCUAACUCCGUGCCAGCAGCCGCGGUAAUUC